GGUGACGCCGUAAGGCGCAGCC
rnacentral:ribozyme from 1 species